rnacentral:rRNA from 3 species
UAGGGAAUUUUGCGCAAUGGACGGAAGUCUGACGCAGCAACGCCGCGUGAAGGAUGAAGGCCUUCGGGUUGUAAACUUCUGUUGGAUGGGAAAAAAAGCCUUUUAAGAGGAAUUGAUGGUACCAUUCGAGUAAGCACCGGCUAACUACGUGCCAGCAGCCGCGGUAAUACGUAGGGUGCGAGCGUUGUUCGGAAUCACUGGGCGUAAAGGGAGCGUAGGCGGAACUGUAAGUUAGAAGUUUAAUACAUGGGCUCAACCCGUGGUCUGCUUUUAAUACUGCGGUUCUUGAGUAUGGGAGAGGGCGAUGGAAUUCCAGGUGUAGCGGUGGAAUGCGUAGAUAUCUGGAAGAACACCAGUAGCGAAGGCGGUCGCCUGGCCCAAUACUGACGCUGAGGCUCGAAAGCUGGGGGAGCAAACAGG